UGCUGUUCAAGAACGCUGACGGCCCUUCCCUCUGGGCAGAUCACACUUCUCAUUUCCCGUCCUCACUAGGAUGGCAUUUAGCCGAGACAAGCAGGAGAUGCUAAGGUCAAGCAAGAUACAAAUAUUGAAUGUGACCCAGAAUAGCUCUCAUGACAGCCAUUGUUCCUAUUAACUUGUCAACAAGGCCUUUAUGAAGAUCGAAAACUUGAAAUCACAUGCAAACUUCAGUGCUAUAUUGCCCAACUAACUGGCCACAUGCUGUUUAGGGUAACAUAUAAAAUGACUUUACAAGCCUGUAGGACAUUAAACUCUUGGAAAUCCUAGGGACAGAAUAAGAAGAUGCAAGGAGUCAAUAUUUUAAUGUCUCUUAGGCAAUGAGCAAAAUUACAUUUGCUGAUGAAGGCACAAAUAGGUAAGGUUGCUUGUGUGGGUAAAAUGCUUACUUUCAGGGGAGAAGAGAAUUUCAGAAACCUCCCCAUUUCUUUUUCUUAUUGCUGUGAGCUUAACAUAUGGAGAACAUUUCUCUAGAUGUGAGAGAUUGUGCACAUUUUUACACAGGAGCAGCAAGUGUGACUCAUUUUUAUUGUAGAAUUAUUAGAGCGAGAUGUGGGAACUUGGGUUGAGUUUUAAGAAAUAUAUGUGUUAAUUUUAAGUCAAAGCCUUAGGCUAAAAAUCAAAUCCCAGAAAUGAGCAGAAUAUUCGAAUCCACAGUCAAUGUUGCAAACUAUAAGCAUUUUAACAUCAAAUUGGGAACAUACAUAAUGACCAAAGGCUAUGAUAAAUCAUUAUUUUAAAUGAAAAGCUUAUAUCUUCAUACAUUUGAAAAAAUAGCCACGCAUUCAUCUGGAAAACGUGCAGUUUAUACGAUGUGUGCCUAACACAGUGCUCAGUGAAUGGUAAGCCCUUAAAGAGUAUUUGUGGACAGAAUGGACUGUUUUUUGUGGACUUAUAUCAGCAGUCCCCUCAUCCUCAAAUGAAAUCUUACCUAACAAUUUCCUCCCCCAGGCUCAGAAUCUGGUUUCAUCAUUUGCAGAGUGACAUCAAGGAGCAAAGUGAAGAGCAUCUCAGAAAAGCUCGAGGACCAAAACAUUCCAAAGCACAGAGCUGCAGACCUUUGGCGCUCGCUUCCCAGAAGGUGCCAUACUGUAGGCAAGGCUGCGUUGCUCUGCCGGUGUUAAUUUUGCAGAUCUCUAGUCUUUUAUAUUAUAGCUGAUCAAAUAUAAAUACAUGUCUAGAACUAGAUUGCUUGGAACUUGCUCAAGAUUGACCUGUGACCUUCAUUUAUGAAGAAUGGAUAUGCUUGAUUGCUCCAUACUGACACUGGGCAUGUUCAAUUAAUGCUUACAUUAUAAAGAAUGUGCAAACAACACAAACGGAAAUUAAAUCCUUUUCGCUAUCU